rnacentral:rRNA from 1 species
GAUGAACGCUAGCGGUGCGCCUAACACAUGCAAGUCGAGCGAUCGAGCCGGACCAAACACCCUUCGGGGUGGGCGGACCGGUAACGGAGCGGCGGACUGGUGAGUAACGCGUAGCUAACCUGCCCUCUUGAUGGGGACAACCACUCGAAAGGGUGGCUAAUACCCAAUGUUGCUCGAGGUCGAUGGACCUUUAGCCAAAGGCGGUUCACGCCGUCGCAAGGGGAGGGAGCUGCGUCCUAUUAGCUUGUUGGUGGGGUAAUGGCCUACCAAGGCGAUGAUGGGUAGCUGGUCUGAGAGGAUGGCCAGCCACAUUGGGACUGAAAUACGGCCCAGACUCCUACGGGAGGCAGCAGUGGGGAAUCUUUCGCAAUGGGCGAAAGCCUGACGGAGCGACACCGCGUGGGGGAUGAAGGUCUUCGGGUUGUAAACCCCUUUUCUGAGGGAAGAAUAAAGGCGGGAGGAAAUGCCCGUUCGAUGACGGUACCUCAGGAAUAAGCAUCGGCUAACUUCGUGCCAGCAGCCGCGGUAAGACGAAGGAUGCGAGCGUUAUCCGGAAUUACUGGGCGUAAAGGGCGUCUAGGCGGCCAGGUAUGUCACCCGUGAAAGCCCUCGGCUCAACCGAGGAAAGUCGGGUGAAACUGCUUGGCUUGGGUUCAGGAGGGGAGGGUGGAACUCACAGAGUAGCGGUGGAAUGCGUAGAUAUCGGGAGGAACACCAGUGGCGAAGGCGGCCUCCUAGGCUGUUACUGACGCUGAGGCCCGAAAGCGUGGGGAGCGAACAGGAUUAGAUACCCUGGUAGUCCACGCCGUAAACGAUGGACACUGGGUAUGGGGAGUAUCGACCCUCUCCGUGCCGAAGCUAACGCGUUAAGUGUCCCGCCUGGGGACUACGGCCGCAAGGCUAAAACUCAAAGGAAUUGACGG